rnacentral:misc_RNA from 1 species
CGCACAUUGCGCCCUCUGGUAUUCCGGAGGGCAUGCCUGUUCGAGCGUCAUUUCAACCCUCAAGCCUGGCUUGGUGAUGGGGCACUGCCUUUGAGAAAAGGGCAGGCCCUGAAAUUCAGUGGCGAGCUCGCCAGGACCCCGAGCGCAGUAGUUAAACCCUCGCUUUGGAAGGUCUUGGUGCGGCCCUGCCGUUAAACCCCCAACUUCUGAAAAUUUGACCUCGGAUCAGGUAGGAAUACCCGCUGAACUUAA